rnacentral:lncRNA from 1 species
AAAACAUAAAUUAUUUUGAUGAACUAGUAUUAACUUCUUUCUCAUUGCAGAAUGUGGAAAGACCAAAGAAAAUACUUUCCAUUUAGAACUUAUAGUAUACUGCGAACAGACAAAAUCUAAGGAAUGGCAUGUCUGACUUUUACGGAUGAUUAAAUGGGACAAAUAAGGAAAGUCAUUCAUUUGAGGACUGCUCGAUUUCCAGAUGGACAGCUCCCUCUUCUGUUUGGUUUGCAGAAUUUGGGUCUUUUGAAAACACAUUGGCAGAUACACCAUUUUGUCAUCUUGGCUGUCUAUCUUGGCUGAAGCUGAAUUGCUAUUUGCAGAACAACAAAUUUGUCCCAUUUCAAGAGCAGCAAGAGAAAUGGCAACUGACACUGGCUAGGAACUCGACUCCGGAACACACACAGACCUGGAUGCUGAUUCCUACCAGUUAUGUGACCUUGGACUAGAUAAUUUCUCUAGCCUUCAGUUUUCUUAUCUGUAGGUUGUGGGGAUGUGCCUACUUAUGUUUGUUGUAAAAAUUCAGCCAGUGAUAUCCCUGUAGACAACAGCACAGAGCUAGGCACAUCACCAUCUGAAACAUUUGAGCUGGUUGCUUCCAGUUCUCACCUUCCCUCCCAGUCUCCACUCUUCUG